rnacentral:rRNA from 1 species
AUCAUCUAUCCCACCUUCGGCGGCUGGCUCCAAAAGGUUACCCCACCGACUUCGGGUGUUACAAACUCUCGUGGUGUGACGGGCGGUGUGUNCAAGGCCCGGGAACGUAUUCACCGCGGCAUGCUGAUCCGCGAUUACUANCGAUUCCGGCUUCNUGUNGGCGAAUUGCAGCCUACAAUCCGAACUGAAAACGANUUUAUCGGAUUAGCUCCCUCUCGCGANUUGGCAACCGUUUGUAUCGUCCAUUGUANCACGUGUGUNNCCCAGGUCNUAAGGGGCAUGAUGAUUUGACGUCAUCCCCACCUUCCUCCGGUUUGUCACCGGCAGUCACCUUAAAAUGCCCAACUAAAUGAUGGCAACUAANAUCAAGGGUUGCGCUCGUUGCGGGACUUAACCCAACAUCUCACGACACGANCUGACGACAACCAUGCACCNCCUGUCACCGUUGUCCCCNAANGGAAAACCAUAUCUCUACAGUGGUCAACGGGAUGUCCANACCUGGUAAGGUUCUUCCCGUUGCUUCCAAUUAAACCACAUGCUCCACCGCUUGUNCGGGNCCCCNUCCAUUCCUUUGAAUUUCAAUCUUGCGAACGUACUCCCCNGCCGAAUNCUUAAUCNUUAACUGCNCCACUAAGGGGCGGAAACCCCNAACCUUACNCUCCUCCUUUACGGGNUGAAUACCAGGGUNUCUAACCCGUUUGCUCCCCACGCUUCCCCCCCCACGUC